rnacentral:lncRNA from 1 species
GAAACACUGCCUCAUUACUCAGUGGGUGCAGGAGCCCUUUUUACUGACUGCUGCAUUGUCAGGAUCCAUGGUUGAUCUGUGGACAAGAUUUUAUCUUCCUUAGUGGAGAAAAACCCUCCUGACCCAAUGAGUGUGGCCUUGCAGAGGUCCUCAGUUUUCACUUCACCAGAGACUGCUUCCACCACUGGUGCCUCAAUCUCCUACCACUGGGUCUUGAAACAUCUCUCCAAUAUUCCUAAAUGGUCCUAAAAGAACACAGGGCUUGAGGCCUUUCUCACGUAGCCACGUGCACAUCAGUAACCAUGCCCUCUCACAAAGCAGCACAUAACUUCCUCUUUCUCAACAGGACGCUUGCCCCUCAUCACCCUCCUUUCUCAAACAUGGUCAUCCAAACUUCCACCUACUGUCAAGGCUUAUUCAACAUUCACUGUUU